AACGAACGCUGGCGGCAUGCCUAACACAUGCAAGUCGAACGAGACCUUCGGGUCUAGUGGCGCACGGGUGCGUAACGCGUGGGAACCUGCCCUUAGGUUCGGAAUAACUCCCCGAAAGGGGUGCUAAUACCGGAUAAUGUCUUCGGACCAAAGAUUUAUCGCCUUUGGAUGGGCCCGCGUUGGAUUAGCUAGUUGGUAGGGUAAAAGCCUACCAAGGCGACGAUCCAUAGCUGGUCUGACAGGAUGAUCAGCCACACUGGGACUGAGACACGGCCCAGACUCCUACGGGAGGCAGCAGUGGGGAAUAUUGGACAAUGGGCGAAAGCCUGAUCCAGCAAUGCCGGGUGAGUGAUGAAGGCCUUAGGGUUGUAAAGCUCUUUUACCCGGGAUGAUAAUGACAGUACCGGGAGAAUAAGCGCCGGCUAACUCCGUG
rnacentral:rRNA from 1 species